UACGUAGGCAGCGAGCGUUGUUCGGAGUUACUGGGCGUAAAGGGGGUGUAGGCGGUUUUCUAAGUUUGGUGUGAAAUCUCCCGGCUCAACCGGGAGGGUGCGCCGAAAACUGGGAGACUAGAGUGCGGGAUGGGAGAGUAGAAUUCCUGGUGUAGCGGUGAAAUGCGUAGAUAUCGGGAAGAACACCCGUGGCGAAGGCGGCUCUCUGGGACGGUACUGACGCUGAGACGCGAAAGCGUGGGGAGCGAACAGG
rnacentral:rRNA from 1 species